GACGAACGCUGGCGGCGUGCUUAACACAUGCAAGUCGAACGGUAAGGCCCUUCGGGGUACACGAGUGGCGAACGGGUGAGUAACACGUGGGUGAUCUGCCCUGCACUUCGGGAUAAGCCUGGGAGACUGGGUCUAAUACCGGAUAGGACCACUGCCUGCAUGGGUGGUGGUGGAAAGCUUUUGCGGUGUGGGAUGGGCCCGCGGCCUAUCAGCUUGUUGGUGGGGUGAUGGCCUACCAAGGCGACGACGGGUAGCCGGCCUGAGAGGGUGACCGGCCACACUGGGACUGAGAUACGGCCCAGACUCCUACGGGAGGCAGCAGUGGGGAAUAUUGCACAAUGGGCGCAAGCCUGAUGCAGCGACGCCGCGUGAGGGAUGACGGCCUUCGGGUUGUAAACCUCUUUCAGCACCGACGAAGCGCAAGUGACGGUAGGUGCAGAAGAAGGACCGGCCAACCACGUGCCAGCCGCCGCAGUAA
rnacentral:rRNA from 1 species